GGCGGAGCGAAGGGGGCGGAGCCCAUGGGGGAGGGGCCGCCAGGGUCACGUGGUGUCGUUUGACUGUUUACAGGAGGCGCGGCAGAGCCCUCGGCCUCAGUCAGUCUUGCGCUGGGGAGCGUUUCGGUU
rfam:Rattus norvegicus fragile X mental retardation-1 protein (Fmr1) gene, promoter region and partial cds.